AAAUGAUUCACACUUUCACCUCUCCGCCUUCCAGCACCCUUUCAACCUCUCAUGGUGCCACGAUGCUCCUGGCCACCUAAGGUGGUUUUGUCAAGCCCUUGAGUCUUUUCUCAAUAAUCCUUCAGCUGUCAUAGCUAGUUGGUCGCCUGGAUAUACUGUUUUCCUCCCCAGAUUCCUCCCUCACUCCUUUAUCCUCACUUCCAACACCUCUGAGCUAGGCCCGGGGUCAAAACACCAUUAGUGACUCAGACAAGUCACUCAGCUGCUCUCAGCCUCAGCAUUAUUGACAACGUGGUGAUUUAUGACGCUUUCACAGGAGAGGGGCGUCUUCGGGUUUGUUUUUGUUUCUUCAACUCAACACAUACUUAAUGAGGAUGAACUGUGUGUCAGGUACUUUUCCAUUUCUGGGGACAGACCAGAAGACAAAACAAAGUUCCUGCUAUCUUGAAGUUUCCACCCUCCUGAGCGAAGAUGACAAUGAGUGAACAACUAAAAAGUACAUGGCUGGCAGUGAUAAAUGAAGCAGUGAUAAAUGCGACAAAGAGGAACUGGGACAGGGGGGCAGUGAUUAGGCUCUGCCAGCUCGUCCACUGUUUGGCUUACCUGCCUCCCAAAACUCUGCACGACUGGGUGGAAAAUGAAUCAUCAAUUUGACUGGUGGUUUCUUCAAAAUGUUGACUGCGCCCUUGAAACUGUGGUUCCGAAAACAAGUGAAUCUGUGAAAAAGUAAACAGAAACGCAUCAAAUUAUUUUCCUAAAAGCUGAAUGAGCUAAUGUAUUUGAAACGAUGACCACACAUGACCUGCUACCUCUUGUUACAGUAACUGGUGCGAAUUUAAUAAAUUCUUUAGUUUUCUA